ACCUUAAAGAAACUCCCUGUCAAGAAACAACAUCACCAAGAUGAACAAAUAGGCGCAGGAGUGGCUGUGUGGUAAGUAGCUUGCUUACCAGCCACAUGGUUCCGGGUUCAGUCCCACUGCAUGGCACCUUGGGCAAAGGUCCUUGAAAGUGCUAAAUGACUAGCUGUGAUAUCAACAAGAAAUAUAAACAUCAACACUUUUUCAUUUUACCAGCAAUGGCAAGCUGUUGAAUAUCAACAUUUAUACACAUUCAUGCAUGCACAUAAUAUGUAUAUGUCUAGUUAUAAUACAUAUAUUUGUGUGUGUGUGUGUAGUUAUGUGGUAUUAUAUACAGCUUUAUGUGUGCUUUAACUGUUAAAUCUCUCACAACAUAAUGAGAACUCAUAUCUACCAAAUUCCCCUGCUGAUGAAGGAAGUAGGUAUAUGGAUACAUUGACACAUUCCAUUUACUGAUUGUGAACAUUACAACUAUUAUGCAAUUCUGAGCUCCCAGAAACAGCUGUUGAGUUAAAAAUCUAUGCAUUCUC